UUGGAGGGCAAGUCUGGUGCCAGCAGCCGCGGUAAUUCCAGCUCCAAUAGCGUAUAUUAAAGUUGUUGCAGUUAAAAAGCUCGUAGUUGAAUUUCGGGAUCAAUUUGCUGGUCGUGCCUCUGGUACGUACUGGUAUUAUUGGUUUCUCCCUUCCGACGAACCAUGAUGUCAUUAAUUUGAUGUCGUGGAGAAUCAGGACUGUUACUUUGAAAAAAUUAGAGUGUUUAAAGCAGGCAUUAGCUUGAAUACAUUAGCAUGGAAUAAUGAAAUAGGACGUUUGAUCCUAUUUUGUUGGUUUCUAGGAUUGACGUAAUGAUUAAUAGGGAUAGUUGGGGGCAUUAGUAUUCAAUUGUCAGAGGUGAAAUUCUUGGAUUUUUUGAAGACUAACUACUGCGAAAGCAUUUGCCAAGGAUGUUUUCAUUAAUCAAGAACGAAAGUUAGGGGAUCGAAGACGAUCAGAUACCGUCGUAGUCUUAACCAUAAACUAUGCCGACUAGGAAUCAGACGAUGUUAAUUUUUUAAUGACUCGUUUGGCACCUUACGGGAAACCAAAGUGUUUGGGUUC
rnacentral:rRNA from 1 species